rnacentral:tRNA from 1 species
GGGUCGUUAGCUCAGUUGGUAGAGCAGNNGCAGGUUCGAAUCCUGCACGACCCACCA